GAGUGAAAAAAAAGGGAAAGCAAAAAGGAGCCACUGGCCGACUCCCGGUGUGCUGUGCCGAGCGCUGCCGACCGCCCGCCGCCAACUCCGCCCGAGGCCGGCCUCCGCGCCACCCGACCCGCCGCCUCUCCAUCGCCGAGCGGCCUCCUGUGUCUGCCACGAGGAACGGCACCGCCGCGGGGGUAUACGCAGCUGGAGCCGCCCGCGGCCCCGACUCCCGCUCACCUUCUGCCGGCCGGCCCGCGUUUGGAGCUGGCGUUCGGUCGGGACGAAGAAAGUGCCGCCUACUUAGCCGGGAAGUCAGAGAUCCGACAACGACUGUGUCCACACCAAAUGAAUCACGGAAGAUUUAGAGGCAGCAUUGGUGGCAGCUAGCGGGCGUGGCAGGGCAGCGGCCGUGGUGGAACAC
rnacentral:rRNA from 1 species